rnacentral:rRNA from 1 species
UGGAGGAAAGUAGGGGAUCGAAAGACCUUGCGCUUUUGGAGCGGCCGUUAUCUGAUUAGCUAGUUGGUGAGGUAAAGGCUCACCAAGGCGUCGAUCAGUAGUUGGUCUGAGAGGACGACCAGCCACACUGGAACUGAGACACGGUCCAGACUCCUACGGGAGGCAGCAGUGGGGAAUUUUGGACAAUGGGGGAAACCCUGAUCCAGCCAUGCCGCGUGAGUGAAGAAGGCCUUCGGGUUGUAAAGCUCUUUCAGUCGGGAAGAAAAGAUUGCAGAUAAUACCUGUAAUUCAUGACGGUACCGAAAUAAGAAGCACCGGCUAACUACGUGCCAGCAGCCGCGGUAAUACGUAGGGUGCGAGCGUUAAUCGGAAUUACUGGGCGUAAAGGGUGCGCAGGCGGUUUUGUAAGUCAGAUGUGAAAUCCCCGGGCUUAACCUGGGAACUGCGUUUGAAACUACAAAGCUAG